rnacentral:rRNA from 1 species
UACGGCGGGGGCAAACGGUGCUCGGAAUCAUUGGGCGUAAAGCGCACGUAGGCGGCCCGGUAAGUCUGAUGUGAAAGCCCUCGGCUCAACUGAGGAAGUGCAUUCGAAACUGCUGGACUUGAGUACGGGAGAGGGAUGCGGAAUUCACGGUGUAGAAGUGAAAUUCGUAGAUAUCGGGAGGAACACCAGUGGCGACGGCGGCACCCUGGAGCGAUACUGACGCUGAGGUGCGAAAGCGUGGGGAGCAAACAAG